UACGUAGGGCGCAAGCGUUAUCCGGAAUUAUUGGGCGUAAAGAGCUCGUAGGCGGUUUGUCGCGUCUGCCGUGAAAGUCCGGGGCUCAACUCCGGAUCUGCGGUGGGUACGGGCAGACUAGAGUGAUGUAGGGGAGACUGGAAUUCCUGGUGUAGCGGUGGAAUGCGCAGAUAUCAGGAGGAACACCGGUGGCGAAGGCGGGUCUCUGGGCAUUAACUGACGCUGAGGAGCGAAAGCAUGGGGAGCGAACAGG
rnacentral:rRNA from 1 species